CUGUCUUCUGGAAGGUUGGCCAGUCUCUGUAGGCUUGGCCAUUUCCCUCCCAUUACCUGAAGCUGGAAGCUGAAAUUAGUCUGGUUUUAUCUCCCUUGGUGAAAUCAUUGCUCCCUGGCUCUGCAAUUCAAGGCUGCUGCCUUGGGUUGGCCCUUCCCAUUAUGUCUAUUGCAUAACAAGUGCCUUUGUUCCUGGCUGAGUGUGACAUUACUCAAAUGUGACAAUGCUCCCUUUGUUCUCCUCCUCCCAGGGCCUCAGCGGCUCCACACCACACCACCCUGAAAACCAAAUCAGCAGAAGCCUGCUGGAAAUUGAUGCGUGAUGCCUGAGAAACUUGCUCCAGAUGCUAAGAGAUGCCCAUUACUGGCACCUUCCCUUGACUGUCUCAGAAUUGCUUGAGGGCCCUGUUGCUUUGUCAGCCACGCCAGUAAUGAGCUGGUAAACCUCACUAACCUUGGCCAAUUGCAAGGUCACGUCUGGACUCACGUGGAGAGGGAAACCCAUCUGAAAAGCAUCGGAGGCAAUGCCUCUGACCUUUCCGGAUACCCUCUGCCCCUCCCACCCACCAAAGUGCGGUUCCGCCUGUGGCUUGGGAAAAGCACAAAACCAGGUCGACCAGGGCUCCCAGGACUUGGGAAGCAACCUUAUUCCUGGCGGCACCGGUCCGUUGGGCUUGUACCUGAAGAACUGAGCCCUGAAUGCCACGUGGAGUAGUUUUCUAUAUAUUUUUUACUUCUUUGUCUCCUAUGUACAGUGACACACAAACAUGCAGUCUGAUUAAGUGGUCUCAUGUUACAAGGUCGUGAGGAAUGUUGUCACGUACGUAUAGCCAGGUUGCCUUGAGGGCUUUUAUUUUUCCUUAGGGAGGGGACCUUACCACAGACUGAGCCACCCAGGUGCCCUAGAAAAAGUGUUUGUAAGCUGGAAAGAAACUUGGGCGUCACUGGGGCUUUAGACACCCUCAUUUUACAG